GGUCGAAUCGUAUAGCGGUUAGUACACAUGCUUCACACGCAUGAGAUCCGGGUUCGAUUCCCGGUUCGACUA
rfam:Trichoderma atroviride IMI 206040 TRIATcontig_27, whole genome shotgun sequence.